rnacentral:rRNA from 1 species
AAAUUGAAGAGUUUGAUCAUGGCUCAGAUUGAACGCUGGCGGCAGGCCUAACACAUGCAAGUCGAACGGUAACAGGAAGCAGCUUGCUGCUUCGCUGACGAGUGGCGGACGGGUGAGUAAUGUCUGGGAAACUGCCUGAUGGAGGGGGAUAACUACUGGAAACGGUAGCUAAUACCGCAUAACGUCGCAAGACCAAAGAGGGGGACCUUCGGGCCUCUUGCCAUCGGAUGUGCCCAGAUGGGAUUAGCUUGUUGGUGGGGUAACGGCUCACCAAGGCGACGAUCCCUAGCUGGUCUGAGAGGAUGACCAGCCACACUGGAACUGAGACACGGUCCAGACUCCUACGGGAGGCAGCAGUGGGGAA